GUGGGGAAUCUUCCGCAAUGGACGAAAGUCUGACGGAGCAACGCCGCGUGAGUGAAGAAGGUUUUCGGAUCGUAAAGCUCUUUCGUUAGGGACGAACGUGCUCUUUGUGAAUAAUGAGGAGUAAUGACGGUACCUAAAUAAGAAGCCACGGCUAACUACGUGCCAGCAGCCGCGGUAAUACGUAGGUGGCAAGCGUUGUCCGGAAUUAUUGGGCGGAAAGCGCGCGCAGGCGGGAUAUCAAGUCUGUCUUAAAAGUGCGAGGCUCAACCUCGUGAGGGGACAGAAACUGGUAUUCUUGAGUGUCGGAGAGGAAAGUGGAAUUCCAAGUGUAGCGGUGAAAUGCGUAGAGAUUUGGAAGAACACCAGUGGCGAAGGCGACUUUCUGGACGAUGUCUGACGCUGAGGCGCGAAAGCUAGGGGAGCGAACGGGAUUAGAAACCCGGGUAGUCC
rnacentral:rRNA from 1 species